GCCAACCAACUAUGUCUUUUAUCUCCGCUUCCCUCCACAUUUUGAGUAUUUGUCAUCCUCUCUUUCUUCUCCUAAAACCCUAGCCGAACAUCUCUCUCCCUCUCGUCGCCACCCAAAACAUGACCGUGACCGUAGAAUUGGAUGACGGUUACGCGGCGGAGAAGCUCUUUAACCAGGGCUUCUCAUACACCUACGACGACGUCAUCUUUCUUCCUCACUACAUCGACUUCCCAGCUGAUGCUGUUUCUCUCUCUACUUAUCUUUCACGGAAUGUUCCUCUCUCUAUUCCCUGUGUUUCUUCUCCUAUGGACACCGUCACUGAAUCUUACAUGGCGGCUGCUAUGGCCGCCUUGGGAGGUAUUGGUAUUAUUCAUUCUAAUAUGCCCCCUUCUCACCAAGCUGAUAUGGUCAGAUCUGCUAAGUCUCGCCGUGUUCCUAUUUUGUCUAAUCCUGCCUUCAAGUCCCCUGAUUCCAGGAUUCUUGAUCAAUUCGAUGAUGAUUCUCUGCCUUGUGUUUUAGUUACUGAGUCAGGUACUGCUAAGUCCAAGCUAUUAGGCUAUGUACUCAAGUCUGAUUGGAUGUCUUUAAGUGAUAAAGAUGCUAAGUUGGUUGAUUAUAUGCGCACUGCUGAUUCAAAAAUCUGUGUGCCAUGGAGUUAUGACUUGGCACAGAUUGAUGCCUAUUUUAGAAAAGAAGAGCGUGAUUUUGUGUUGCUGGAGGAGGGUGGAGAGGUACUGGAUGUGAUCACCAGGCAAGAGGUGGAGAGGGUGAAGGGCUAUCCCAAGUUAGGGAAGGGGACGGUGGGGUCUGAUGGGAAAUGGAUGGUUGGGGCGGCCAUUGGGACCAGGGAAUCUGACAAAGAGAGACUGGAGCAUUUGGUGAAAGCAGGGGUGAAUGCAGUGGUGUUGGAUAGCUCACAAGGGAACUCCAUUUAUCAGAUUGAAAUGAUAAAUUAUAUAAAGCGAAAAUAUCCAGAGUUGGAUGUGAUUGGUGGGAAUGUCGUGACUAUGAAUCAGGCGCAAAAUCUGAUUAAGGCAGGUGCGGAUGGAUUGAGAGUUGGGAUGGGAUCUGGGUCAAUAUGCACCACCCAGGAAGUUUGUGCAGUUGGACGAGGACAGGCAACUGCUGUUUAUAAGGUUUCAUCUAUAGCUGCACAAAGUGAUGUUCCUGUAAUUGCAGAUGGUGGCAUUUCAAACUCUGGGCAUAUUGUUAAGGCUUUAACACUUGGGGCAUCUACUGUAAUGAUGGGAGGGUUUUUAGCUGGAAGUACUGAAGCUCCUGGGACCUAUGAGUAUAAGGAUGGUUAUCGAAUUAAAAAAUAUCGUGGCAUGGGUUCUCUCGAAGCAAUGACUAAAGGAAGUGAUCAAAGAUACUUGGGAGAUACAGCUAAGCUAAAAAUUGCACAAGGAGUUGUGGGAGCAGUUGCUGAUAAAGGCUCUGUUUUGAGGUUAUUGCCUUAUACCAUGCAAGCAGUCAAACAAGGGUUCCAAGAUCUUGGUGCUUCCUCUCUCCAGUCUGCUCAUGAUUUGUUGAGAUCAAAGACUCUGAGGCUUGAGGUUCGGACAGGUGCUGCGCAAGUUGAAGGUGGAGUACAUGGGCUGUUUUCUUACGAGAAGAAAGCCUUUUGAAUUUAAAAUCCUCUAGCAUUUAUUUCUACUGCUAAUGAUUAGUUUCCUCCUGCACUUGAGAUCUAGAGCAUGAGCAACAUUUGAGUCGACUGCACUGAUUCUGCUAUGGCAAUUUGCUAGCAGUUUUUUCAUAAAGUUGAGGUGGUUUUUGGCUGAAAUAACCAGAAGCAGAAAUCCCAGAAGCAGAAAUCCCAAUUGUUGUUUGUUCUUUGCUGAUGGGUAUGCAAGCACUCUUCUACUUGUAUCUUAGCCAAUUUUGGGAUUUAAUUGAAUAACUUUUAUUCAUAAAUUUUGCCGAUUUAUGAAUUAAUAAAACUUUUAUUUAUUGUUCUUUGGAACAAAAGAUGAAGCAAUAACUUGAUUGUUUUACAUGUGGCUUUUUUUAUUAUUUUAAGAAAUUACAUGAUUUCAUUUUAAUUAGUAGUAGACUUGUAUUGCAAGGAAAAAACAGCCCAGAGUUGAAGUACUUGUAGUUCUGGGGACUUGUUUGAUUCAUGCAAUGAAUUAUGAUGGGAAAAGCAGUAACU
rnacentral:misc_RNA from 1 species